UUUUUGGUGCCAUCCUGCGCGUGAGUGGGGGAGGUUUCAGCGCGAGCUUUGUCAGCGCUUUGACGGGGGUCUCGCCUGCGUUUGGAACAGCUGUUGCUCAGCGUUUCGGUGGGGAGGCGUAAGGGAAGGAAGAGAUAAGAGCAAGGUCAUCCUGCAGGACAACCAAGGCAAUUUCCAUUUCAAAACCAACCUGAACCCCAGUUGAAAUUCAUCUAAGCAAUCAAUUUCUUUCAAGAAGCAGUUGGCAAGAGAAAGCAGGGCCUUAUUUGUGGCACCCCUCUCUGCUUCAAGUUUCCUAGACCUCAAGGGUUGAAUUUUACAGCUGAAUGAUUGUACAGACUCUAAAGCAAUGGAAUUUGUGACAACUUGCUUUGAGGUGUCAGCACUAGAAAGAUGAAUCACUUAUUAGUAGGAGGCCUGACACAUGAUGAAAUCACCAGCUGACACUUCAGUGACCUUUAAUAUUGUUUUGUGUAACACAUCACGAAGAGGGACAUUGUGGGAUUCUGAGUGUUCCACAGGGCAUGUAUGCAGUGAUGUUGCAAUUCUGUGGGUAGUAAUUUUCUUUUUCCCACCCCCCCCACCCCCACACAGUGAAAUGCUUUAUCAUCACAGAAAGUAUGAGAACUUGCCUUUGGUGGGAUAUGACUAAUCCAUGGCUGUUUUUAAAUGAAUCACAAUUAAUAUCUCCCUUAAAACACGCUACACAGCCAAAAGAUUUUCAUUAAUGUUAUUAUUGCAAAUCAGUGGAAAGGGAGAGAUACGUCCCAAGAAAGAGCUAUACCUACUUCAAAAUCCAGAAAAUCAAAUUAUGGAUCUUACUCAAGAAUAUUACAGACCUUGGAUGUCACAGUGGGCACAUCUUUUCACAUGCUAUUAUGAAGAAAGCACAUGGAACUCAAGAGGAAUUGCUAGAGAUUAUAGCAGCAGUCUGGAGCCACUACUAAGGUCCGCUGUUCAGAGCUCAAAUGGCAACCUUCCAUUGAUCAUUGAGUGGCCAGCAAGGCCUUGUCUAAGGAUCUGAAUGGUCAGCUGAAUGUGCAUAGAGGAAGGCAUGCUACAUACCCUCAUCCCAAGAUGUAAGAAAGAAGUUCAACAUCCCUUCUGCUUGUAGUUGCUCCAUUAAAAUUUUACUGCUGUUGGGUGGGUGACCUGUUUUUGAAGUUUCAUGUCUACCAUAAUAUUAGGCAGAGCAGUCAGUGAUCAAGUAAAUGCAUGUGUGAACCAGUUCAGUGGAUACAGCACAGCAGACCCAUAGCACUUUCAGUUUUCUUAAUGGAAGGAUUUCAAAUGCUAAUAUUGUAUUUAGAAAUAUGGUAUACCAAGUGGGAUAACACAAUUCAAAGACAAGACCAAAUACUAGGAAGGAUUCAAAAGAAAGAGCUCUAGAGAAGAUAGGAGAUCUACAAAGAAAUCCAGAGAGUCAUUUGAAGGACAUGAAAUGUCAACUAUAAAAUGAAUAAGACCUAUGCCAGAAUAUAUAGUUUCUUCUACAUGAAGGCCCAUUAGUGCCACUGAGACAUUGCUCUUUCACAACUGGAAACAGGCUUAAAAAUUAUUGUUCAUUUAACGGUUUAUUAUGUGUUACUUGUAAGAAUCCCACAAUCAAGGUCCCAAUAUCUGUUUAUUCAGAAGUAAGCUUCAUUCAGCAGAAGUUCCAUGUUUUGUGGUUAACAGUCUGAACAAGUUGUUGUUCUUUGAACCCCUUUUCUGAAUGUGGUUAUUUCAUUGCAGUUACUGGUCCUUUAAUUAGUUAUUUCGUUCAACUUGGCUAAGCCCUUUAAAUAAGCCCUAUUCAGGCAUUCUGAACCCAAAUAGUGCAAAUCCAUGAGGAAAGGGAAUGUUCCAGUCCCACCCCAUCUGCAUCACUGUAAUUGUCUCUUGUCCUCCUUGGUAUUUGUGAAGUGCAGCAGUCUGAAGAAAAGAAACUCCUGUAUUUGUGGAGGCUCUCUAUGAAAGCAGGAAUCCUGAUUUUCCAACAUUUUUGCUUGCCUGGAGAGCCCCACAUGUUUGUUUUAUUCAGGUUCAGAAUGGCUGAAUAGGCCUUUAGCCAUUUUCAGUUCCCUAGCAGUGCCAGUGUCUGGCUUUAAUUACUCUGUUGCUCUUUAUGUCCAGCUGAAUUUCUCAUUCACUAAUACACGAUGGUGAUUGUGAUAAUAACAAUAUCAACAAUGAGCAACUUAAAUAAAAUAUGGUUUAAAUUUUAAAAGGAAGAUAUGAAAACAGAAAUGAACAAAAAUGUUAAGGCUGACUUUUAUCUCCUUUCUUCACCGCACCCUCCUUCCAGAGAUCUGUGCAGUAUUCUAUUAGGCACCUGAACUCAGUAAUCCAUCUGUUGCCUGCUGGAGCUUUUGGGUUAGACUUGACCAUAGUUGGUAUGACUAGAUAACUCUUUCUUGCUAUUGAUACCAAUGGUCUCCCAGUGGAUCUUAAUGAAAUGGCCCCUUUGCCACAACAAGGAGCAAAGGGAAGCAUAAUCUCCUGAUAAGCAGUCUCUGUGUAGCACAACUCUCAGAGCAUAAUAAUUGAAAAUGUAAUUUACUUAUGCUGAUUGGCACCAUUUCAUGCAGCAAUUUAAUUUGUCAUAGGGAAGAUGUUUAACAGUUAUAAUGAAACAAUUAUAGUUCUAAAGGAAAGCUGUCAGUCUUUGUAGCCUUUCUCUCCCUCCUCCCUGUAGCCUGACAGACCCGGAAGAUUCUCUUCUGUCACAGGGAUGAGAAGGAUCAUGACAUUUUGGGCAUCUGGCCAGGUGGGGCUAAUCUCAUAAGCUGCCACUGCCCUGGUGAUUGGGGCUGCUUGUAUGAGUUUUAAUUCAGUGCUGUGAUGUCCUCAUUUUACCUAUCUGAAUGCUAAGCUGUAAUCCAUCUGGUGGUGAAUUGAACUGAUGGACAGUGAGUGCAUGUUACCAUCUCAUUUAUUAAUCUUGUGGUUUCUAUCAAGUUGAGACAAAAGCAUUGCCUGAUAAAUUAGUUUAUGGGUAAAGUCAGAUAAGGUUAGCAAAAUUUAUAUAAUACAGACCAGCUUUCCUAAAACCUGGUGCCCUCCAGAAGUUUCAGACUGUAACUCCCACCAGCAUUAGACAGUAUGACCAACAGUCAGGAAAGCUGGAAGCUGUUCUCAAAAAUAUCUGCCAGGUACCAGAUAGGGAAAAACUGAUAGAUGCCUUUCUUUGUUAAGAUCAAAUCUGUACUUGAUGAGUAAUGUACAGAUGCUGAAUAAGAUUCUCCUCCUGUGCAUCAGGACAAGAUCCUGAUUCAGGCAUAAAUUUUGCUGAACAGUGUUGGGCAUGCCAUUGUAUCUCAAGGAGAAGGUAUGAAACUGCCCAGCCAUUUAUUUAUUUUUUGGUUUCAUUCUUGAUUGGCCUAGGGCCAAUGGGGAGAAGAAAACUAGCCUCUAUGAUAAUUGGAAACUGGACUAAAUUCUACAGUUCUUCAGAUUGGCUGAGAAGGGAGAUUUAGAAGAGUAAAUAUAAGUGAAGGAGAGUGAGCAUGCAUGUAAAGGUAUAGAUAAGCAGGGGUGUUGUUGAAAAGUUCAGAAGGGAAGACAGCCAGAAAGCAAGAGAAUUCAGUAUAAAAAGUAUUGCAGAGUAACCAGCCAAUGACUAGAAUGUGCAGAAAGAAACUGUUUUAUUGCUAGAUCUUAGCUUAAGCCAAGAAAUGGACUACACUAGAGAGAGAUCUAUUUAACAUUUUUAUAUAAUUGCUUUUUAUUUUUUUAUUUCUAGAAAUAACAGUGUAAUAUCUAACUCCUCUUUUUCAAGUCAGCAAUUUAGUAAAAACUAAAUUUACUGUUGGAUAAACUUUGAUGCUUUGAUUUUCAUCUCAUGCUCAGUUGUCUUACCAUACUACCCCAUAUAGCUAGUUGGAAGGGUCAGUGAAGAAAUCUUUUAGGGACAACAAAAUCACACAAUAAAAAGCUGUUUGUAUGAAGGCAACCAGAAAAGCUAAAAGACUUGGUAGCAGAGGUGAAGGUCAGGAGCAUAAACAUUAGUUCAUUUGCUCCAUUCCCUCUCUUCUUUCCCAUGAUGUCAACUUUAUUAUGGAACCAUAUUUGAUUUGACAUUUGCAUGUUGCUUGUCCAGCAACAGAGCCGAGUUCUGAGUAGCUCAUAUGCACUAAAAAUAAUAUGAAUAACAUUGCUGCCAAUAUAAUAUAAAAAACACAGUACCAUAUCACUAAAGCAGAAACUCAGCCCAUUGUUUUUGAUUUUAGUGAGGGGUUUUUGUUUUGUUUUUUGUACUUAGUGCUUUAACUUGGUAUGCCUAGGGCUGAAAACUUGAGAUGGAGUGGUUUAUACAACCUGUAACAAACAGACAAACACAGUUCCACAAACUCGUGCAAACUUCUGAGGUUUUCAGAAGUCUUCCUCAGGCUAGGUAGUACAAAAAACAGAAUGAGGGAAGAAGCAGAAAGCACAAACAUCAUGGCUGCAUUAAAAAUUCUGGAGAACUUGGAAGUUUGUACAAUAUUUUGGAAUUUUGUUCCAAAAUAAGUAUUUCCCGGAAAGGGGAUUGCUUGCCUGGUGCAGGUAGACAAGGCUCUACUUUUCUUCUCAGUUGCAUCAGAAAAUAAUAAAAAGCAAUCUUGUCCUCAAGUGCCACAGCUCCUUUUAGAGUUUCAGCCACAAGUGAGGCGUUGGUCUCAUUCAACCAUGGAUGAAACCCAUACUCCCUUGGAGGCAGCUGCAUCUGCAUCCUCUAAGGCAACUGUGAUUAUAGUUUCAGCCACAAGGGAGGUGGGGUUCCCUUCAACACUGACAAUGAGGCCCCUUUUGUGCAGCUUUUGGCCUCAGGGGACUAUUGUCAGGCCCCCUAGAUUACAGAAAUUAGGCAUUUCUACUCUAAUGAAACAGUUAUGUUUCUGCUUCAACACAUCACCUUUUAUGGAUGAUAUUCUUAUAAAUAGACCUGGUUCUCAUGAAAUGGUAGCAUAUCCUUGGUUAAUGAACAAGCCCAUUAAUUCUUGAGUUGAUUGCAGCAAAAACAAUGAAGGUUUUUGUGGCACCUUAAGGAGGAACAAAUUAAUUUUGGUACAGAUGCUGAUGUCAGAAUACUUGUUGGCUUUCAAGGUGUCUCAAGAUAUUUUGUUGUUCUGUUAAGGCCAGUAAUCUCAAAUAAUAAAUAACUCCCCUUCUAAAGUGACCUGCUGUCCUCAAGGGAUUUUUUUUAAAAUCUGAAAUGAUUCCAUUUUUGCUGUGUUGACUUUCUCUGUGACUCCAACUUAUGAUAAAACAAGACAGUGUCCUAUUAAAAUUGAUAUGAUUCUUGCAAACUAACCAUUUGUGCCUAUGGCAGUUUGGGGAGGGGGACUUAACAUUUUAAAGUCAUCUUUCAUUCUCUCUGAAGAGCUUUACAAUUUCCAAAUAUGAAGUGACUAAUUGACUGCCUCAUUGUUUGGCCCCUUUAUUUCUGUUCACUCAGACUAACUAUUGACAUAACGUUAUUUUAUUUGCUUCAUGAGAGUGAUUGGAGGCAGCAUUAGUUGGGCACUGGUUGGAUUCUAAAGGCAUAAAUACGUCAUAUGACUCAUAAUAUCCAUUCUAGGGUUAACAAGACUUUACAGUGUUUGAAUCCUUCAAGCUGUUUCUAAAAAACAAAACAAAAACAACUUAUGUGCUGUGGCUUCUUGAGUUGUACAUUAUAAAUUUGAAUUGUUUUCCUUUGCUUGUACCUUGCUUUAAUAAAGUCAAUUUUUACUUCCA